ACGAACGCUGGCGGCGUGCUUAACACAUGCAAGUCAAGGAGAACGUAUUCUUCGGAAUACUAUUAAAGUGGCGCAAGGGUGAGUAACACGUGAAUAAUCUGCCCUCGAGAUCGGGAUAACAUGGUGAAAACUAUGCUAAUACCGGAUAAGACCACAUUUCGCAAGAAAUGGGGUAAAAGGAGUCUCAAUCUUCACUCGAGGAUGAGUUCGCGCAACAUUAGCUUGUUGGUGAGAUAAAAGCUCACCAAGGCUACGAUGUUUAGCCGGCCUGAGAGGGUGAACGGCCACACUGGAACUGAGACACGGUCCAGACUCCUACGGGAGGCAGCAGUGGGGAAUAUUGCGCAAUGGGCGAAAGCCUGACGCAGCAACGCCGUGUGAGCGAUG
rnacentral:rRNA from 1 species